GAGCUAGUGUGUUGUAGUGGUUUCAGCAUUGGAUUAGAGUUCUGGAGAUCAGGGUUCGAUUCCCUGCUUGGCCA